CGGGUGAGUAACGCGUGGGUAACUGCCUUAUACAGGGGAGUAACAGUCAGAAAUGGCUGCUAAUACCGCAUAAGCGCACAGAGCUGCAUGGCUCAGUGUGAAAAACUCCGGUGGUAUAAGAUGGACCCGCGUUGGAUUAGCUAGUUGGUGGGGUAACGGCCCACCAAGGCGACGAUCCAUAGCCGGCCUGAGAGGGUGAACGGCCACAUUGGGACUGAGACACGGCCCAA
rnacentral:rRNA from 1 species